CGAUUGAUGGCUCAGUGAGGCGUCCGGACUGGCCCAGAGAGGUGGGCAACUACCACUCAGGGCCGGAAAGCUCUCCAAACUCGGUCAUUUAGAGGAAGUAAAAGUCGUAACAAGGUCUCCGUUGGUGAACCAGCGGAGGGAUCAUUA
rnacentral:rRNA from 1 species